GAGGGUAGGGCUCAGUGGUCGAGUGUCUGCUUAGCAUGCACAAGGUCCUGGGUUCAAUCCCCAGGACCCCUCA
rnacentral:tRNA from 1 species